GGUUAUUAGUGGGCCCCCUCUGGUAAGCAGAGCUGGCGAUGCGGGAUGAUCCGAACGAGCGGUUAAAGUGCCUUUGUGUUGGCUCAUGUAGAUCCCAUAAAAGGUGUUGGUUCAUUUAGACAGCAGGACGGUGGCCAUGGAAGUCGGAAUCCGCUAAGGAGUGUGUAACAACCCACCUGCCGAAUGAAGUAGCCCUGAAAAUGGAUGGCGCUGGAGCCAGCGGACUUAUACCGUUCCAAUUUUCUUGAUGUGUUGGAGAGAAAAUUGAGUAGGAGGGCGUGGGGGUGUUGAUGCAUGCUGUGAUGUGAGUGCAGCAGAAAGCUCCCCUAGUGCAGAUCUUGGUGGAAGUAGCAAGUAUUCAAAAGCGAUCUUUGAAGACUGAAGUGGAGAAAGGUUUCAUGUGAACAUCAAUUGGACAUGAGUGAGUCGGUCCUAAGAGAUAGCCAAGUGGCGUUCUUAGUUUUCCCAUUUGUAAGAGUGGGGAUGUAAUCGAAAGGGAAUGAGGUUAAUAUUCCUGAACGAGGACAGUGUAUGCAUAAUUUGGCGACAGUUGUGGUUGUUGGGAGACGUUGGCGGGCAUCCCGGGAAGAGUUGUCUUUUCUUUUUGACUGUGAGUGGUGUCGGCCUGGAAUCGAUUUGUUCGGCGAUAGGGCGGUGUUCGCAGGCAGAGCGCUGUCAGGGUAGAUGGCGUCCGGUGCAUGUUUGUCUCUCCUUGAAAAUCCCAAGGAUCGUAAAUGGUAUAAUCACUCCUCUCCGUACUGUAAACCGCAACAGGUCUCCAAGGUGAGAAGCCUCUAGUUGAUAGAAGAAUGUAGAUAAGGGAAGUCGGCAAAGUAGAUCCGUAACUUCGGGAAAAGGAUUGGCUCUGAGGGUUUGGUGUGUUGUGUUGUGUUGGUGG
rnacentral:rRNA from 1 species